rnacentral:rRNA from 1 species
UGCGUAGGCGGCGAUAUAAGUCAGAAGUGAAAGUUGGCAGCUUAACUGCAAAAUUGCUUUUGAUACUGUGUCGCUUGAAUCAGGUUGAGGCUGGCGGAAUGUGGCAUGUAGCGGUGAAAUGCUUAGAUAUGCCAUAGAACACCAAUUGCGAAGGCAGCUGGCUGGACCUGUAUUGACGCUGAGGCACGAAAGCGUGGGGAGCGAACAGGAUUAGAUACCCUGGUAGUCC